GAUGAAGAACGUAGCGAAGUGCGAUAAGUAAUGUGAAUUGCAGAAUUCCGUGAAUCAUCGAAUCUUUGAACGCAAAUUGCACUUUCUGGUAUUCCGGAGAGUAUGCCUGUUUGAGGGUCAGUGUAAUAAAAAUAAAUCGUGGUUGUUACCACUUUUCGUGGUGACGCUUCGGAAUUGAGUCGUCUUACCUUCGGUUAAGUGACUUAAAAUUUUUUCAUACGAUUUCGAAACGUAUUUAAUGUAUUAUGUAUGUUCACGAAUAUCGAAUGUUUAUUAGGUGCGGUCAUUUUCAUGAAUCGUGUCUAUAAUUUUUUUUUUUUGACCUCAAAUCAGGUAAGAAUCCCCGCUGAACUUAAGCAUAUCAAUAAGCGGAGGA
rnacentral:misc_RNA from 1 species